UACGUAGGGUGCAAGCGUUGUCCGGAAUUAUUGGGCGUAAAGAGCGUGUAGGCGGCCCGAUUAGUCCGCUGUGAAAGUCCAGGGCUCAACCCUGGAAUGCCGGUGGAUACUGUCGGGCUAGAGUGCGGAAGAGGCGAGUGGAAUUCCUGGUGUAGCGGUGAAAUGCGCAGAUAUCAGGAGGAACACCAAUUGCGAAGGCAGCUCGCUGGGACGUGACUGACGCUGAGACGCGAAAGCGUGGGGAGCAAACAGG
rnacentral:rRNA from 1 species